AAUUGCUAACAUGGACAUUAUAGUGGGAAUUUUGUAAAAGAAUGGUGUAGAUGGGGCAAUUUUAUAUUUUAAUGUGCAUUUUUAAGUGAAAAUCGCUCUAAAAUGAGACACAUUAUAUACCAGUAAAAAGAGCAAAUAAAAUAUGAUCCAUACAAAAAAAUUUAUGUACUAUAUCAUGAUAUACAAUUUCGUAUAAGUUAAUUCGUCGCACUUGCGCUCGUCCCAAAUUUAAAAAAUGAUCUCUGAUCUAUACUCAUCUCAUGACCGACCAUCGAACUUGGCUGUGUGGCUCGUGGUGAAUUCGUGCCAUAUCAAACCAUUUCGAUGUCCUACUCCAUCUUAUUCCCAAUUACCAAAUCAUUUUUUCAUCUUCUAUUCUAUUCUUAUUCCCUCCAUUUUUAAAACUCACUCAGACAAAAAAGAAAGCUCACAAUUCAAAAACCUCCUCUUCUUCAGAAACUUCUAGAAGAAAUCAUCAACUCACCCAUUUCAAUCAGGUUUCUUGGAAUUUUGCGAUUAUGACGAUGCCAAAGAAAGAUAGGAUUAGCAAUUUACCCGGCGAAUUAUUGAAUCACAUUCUUUCAUUCCUUCCUAUGAAAGAGGCUGUGGCUACUAGUGCUUUGUCGAAGCGAUGAAAGAGGAUUUACACCUGGUUAUUACGCCUCGAAUUCAAUGACUUGCCUAUAUGUCAUUGUCAGAAACGUCCACAUUUGAUUGACUCUUCCCAUAUUUUUGAGAUGUAUGUUGAUAAUGUAUUGAAAGCAUCUCAAUCUUACAAUAUAACCACUUUUAGACUUCAUUUUGGGGGUGACUGUGAGAUUAAAUACCCGUUUUCAGGUUGCAAUCGAGGUUGUUGCCCUGAUAUGGAACCUAUGCGCUUGAAUGCCUGGUUAACUUUUCCCUUAGCCUGAGCAGUCAGGGAACUUGGCAUUUAUGCUCGUGUGAGGACACCUGAAAACCUACCAUCAACAAUAUUUGGUUGUGGAACAUUGGAAUUGUUGAAGCUCGAUGUCAAUCUUGAUCUUGACUUCCUUUGUCUGUGUGUUUGCCAAACUUGAAAGAGUUUAAUCUCUCUUUAAUCUUCUUCCUGGAUGAUGACUCUGUGGCUAGGCUAGUUUCGAGCUGUCCAUCCCUUCAACGCCUUGAUCAGUAUGGUGUCUAGGAACCUGAGGCUCCUCCUGUAAUUUUCUUCACCUUCUCUUCAUAGAAUAGCUAUAGAGAAUGUUAUACCCUAUGAUGGAUGAAUGAGUAAGGUUGAGUUUAAUGUUCCUAACUUGGAGUAUCUAGAUUAUUUUGACACAUGUCCAAGGAGCUACUCUAUUGCACAUCUGAAUGCUCUAGUUGAAGCGGACAUUGAACUGGUUGAAGGACCCGAUUUUGAUAGUAAGAUUGUACUGGGCCUUGUCUAUUUGAUGUCUAAUGUCCAGCAUUUGUUUUUGCGUGAAUGGCUUGUAUUGGUGCGUCCUUUUAUUCCUUUCAUCCUUAUGAGUUCUGACUAGGCUUCAAAUAUACUCUUUAUUUUAUUUUAUUUUAUUUUUUUUUAUUUUAUCUAACUGGUUUGCCCAUUGGUCUAAGGUUUAGAUUAUGUAGAUGCUUCUGAACUCAACUGUAAGCUGCCAGUCUUUCGUAAUCUAAAAAGUUUGAAGCUUGGUUGUUGUGGCUAUUAUGAUUGGAAUAAACUGUUGAUGGGGCUAUUAAAUUGCGCGCCUUUCCUAGAAGAACUUACUUUAACACAGGGAAUCAGAUUCAAUUCAUAGGUGAUGAAAGUGAUUAUGCUUAUAUGAUGGCGUCUGAUCGUGACUGUUAGUCUUGGAAAAGAACUCAAUCAGUUCCAUCUUGUUUGGGGUCUCAUUUCAAAAAGUUUGUAAUGAAGAAAUAUUUCCAUUCAGAAUGGGAUCUAAAAAUCAUUAAGUAUUUUAUGACAAACUCAUUAGUUUUGGAGGAGUUGGUGUGUAGUUUGUCAUCAAGGACAUAUUAUGAGGAGUUACCAAGAGCCUCGAUCACUUGUUUAGUAACUGUAAAAGACAAGCGAUUUUAUUUGGGUCUCAUAUUAUAAGCAUUCUCAAAUAAUGGAUGUAGUACUCUUUAGUGGUUAGAAUAAGUAGUUUUGUUGUUUUGUAUAGACAGUUUGGAGUCUGAUGUUAGGAUUUUGAUGGUGUCUUGUUUGCAGUUCGCGACUUUACAGUAGUGAUGAGCACUUUAUAUUGGGUGCUAGUGCUACUAUAGUCAGAGAGGCAUGACUGAUUUCAAGUGGUUAAGAAUCUUAUCUUCACUGCUAAACUUCUGCUGUUCUUCUAAACUUCAUGUUAAGCUGCAGAUGAAGAGGAGAUUCAAAGUUCCUGAUUCGAGUUAUGUUAAUUUCUGUUCAGGCUUCCGAUAGCUAUUGGAAAUUUGGAAUAAUA